rnacentral:tRNA from 1 species
GACCGGAUGGCGUAGUGGUUAGUGAUGCUGACUACUGAGCCGAAGGUCCCGGGUUCGAUUCCCGGCUGGGGCA